CCCUUAGAUGUUCUGGGCCGCACGCGCGUUACACUGAUGCAUUCAACGAGUUCUUCCUUGGCCGAGAGGCCUGGGCAAUCUUUUGAACGUGCAUCGUGAUAGGGAUAGAUUAUUGCAAUUAUUAAUCUUGAACGAGGAAUUCCUAGUAAACGCAGUUCAUCAAACUGCAUUGAUUACGUCCCUGCCCUUUGUACACACCGCCCGUCGCACCUACCGAUUGAAUGGUCCGGUGAAGCCUCGGGAUGGCGGCUUGGUCGCUUGCGUCCGACUGCUGAAACUUGAUUAAACCAUAUCAUUUAGAGGAAGGUGAAGUCGUAACA
rnacentral:rRNA from 1 species